rnacentral:rRNA from 1 species
ACGGAAGGCAGCAGUGGGGAAUAUUGGACAAUGGGGGCAACCCUGAUGCAGCGACGCCGCGUGAGCGAAGAAGUAUUUCGGUAUGUAAGGCUCUAUCAGCAGGGAAGAAAAUGACGGUACCUGACUAAGAAGCCCCGGCUAACUACGUGCCAGCAGCCGCGGUAAUACGUAGGGGGCAAGCGUUAUCCGGAUUUACUGGGUGUAAAGGGAGCGUAGACGGCAAGGUAAGUCUGAAGUGAAAUGCCGGGGCUCAACCCCGGAACUGUUUUGGAAACUAUCUCGCUCGAGUACCGGAGGGGUAAGCGGAAUUCCUAGUGUAGCGGUGAAAUGCGUAGAUAUUAGGAGGAACACCAGUGGCGAAGGCGGCUUACUGGACGGUAACUGACGUUGAGGCUCGAAAGCGUGGGGAGCAAACAGGAUUAGAUACCCUGGUA